CUGCAACAGGAUCUUCAAAAACUGAACGAAGCCAAUUCGGAGGGAAAAGUGACGUCGCAAAACAUUGCUUACAGCGUCAUUCAGAGAGUCAUUGGGCUUUUCGUGUGAGCAGCCAUGGAUCUCACUCCAGCCAUUGCAGCUACAUACGGCGUCAUUGGUGCGCUCUCCAUGGCAGGCAAUGCUAUAUUUUGUUUCCUACUGUAUAAAAAACCUUUCCUGUUGAAAAAACCUCACAACAUUCUACUGCUGACUUUAGCAACAGCUGAUAUGUUCACAGGGGCCAUUAUUUUUGCGACACCAAUGUUUCGUAUUAUCCGUCAUCCAUCACUGGCUGGC